GCCUGCAGCCAUGCCACCUUCUGCUCAUCAGAUCACUCAUUCUAAGCAGGGUUGAGCCAGUUCUGUGCUUGGAUGGGAGACCUUCUAAGAACACUUACGGUGCUGCAGGAA
rnacentral:rRNA from 1 species